UUUAUUUGGCACACAUUUAAAUUUAUAAAAAUAUAAAAUUACAAUUAAAUUCUUAAAAAAAAACCCUAACCCUACUACCCUAGACUCUUGCUAAUCCAAGCCCAAGCCAACACAAACCCAAUUUCCCAAUUUCAAUGGCUCACCAGUCUCUCAAUCUAACCCCAAAAAAGCCCUACCCUUUCACUACCCACCCCACCCAGUAAGAGCUUCAUUCUCGUUCUCCUCUCUUGGUAGCAAUCUAAUGAAAGCUAGAAAUCAAUUUCAUAAGAGCUUCAUUCAUAUAGCGCGUUCUCCUCUCCUUCUCUCGCGAAGUCAAUUGUGUAAGGGCGCAAACCACUUCUCUGGAAUCAUCACCGCUGUGGUGAUCCCCCUCCGUCAAUUCCAGUAGUCUCGUCAUCCCCAUUGAUGUAUCCAUCACUGAGCCACUUCCUCGCCCUUCCUCCAUGAUUGCGCGCACCACUUCAUUAGAAAAGGAGCAGAAACAAGAAACACACCUCCGCGCUAGAAUCGUAGAAUCGUUGCCGACGUUCCCCUCUACCGUCAGUACAGGCUGCAUUGUGCUUCCCCUUGCCAGUGGGUCCAUCCGAUUUGCUCCCUCCUUCCUCUGGUUCUAUUCUUAGGUCUGCUUAGCUUCUUGGUUCAGAUUACUUGUAUGUAAAAAAUUACUCCUUCAAUCUUGUGUUUUCUUUUUGGUUUCAGAAUUGAAAUUGGUUCCCACUAAUCUUUUUCUUGAUGGUUUCGAUUUUAGUUAAUGUGUAUGGUUUGUCUAAAAAUCUCCUUUUCAAUUUGGGGAAAAUUUCUUUUUCAUUUCAGAUUUCAAUUUGGUUCACAUUAUGAUUUUUCUUCUUGAUUUGGUUUCAAUUUUUGGGGGUUUGUUUUCGUUCUUGCCAAGAACACAGGACAAAAGGGGGUGAAGCAAAGGAAAGGCCUGCAAGACGCACCGAUACCGCUGUGAAGAGUUGUCGCCGCAGCGCGCUGCACCUCCAUUCUGGGUCUUUCCUAUCUGAAUACUGCCAAAGCAGGAGAGAAGAAAAUAGGAAUGCAAUCAAGUGGUACUAAAGAAGAUAACAUAUUCUCCCUUACAAAGCAACUUUCUCUAAAUUCCUUUGGCAAAAACAAGUCUUCAAAUAGCUAGAUUAUUACGAUAACAAAAGCUAGUUUCUUAUUUAUUUCUUCA